UCACAUUAAAAUACAGAAAAUAAUUCAUUAAAGGCUUUAAAAUAAAGAAAUUAGUUCACAUUAAAGGUUUCAAAAUAAAGGAAUAAAGCGGUUUCUAGGGUGAGUUCACAUUUCAGGCGUUUAGGAGCUAAAAUAAAUCGGUUUCUAUCCGGUGGUGAUAACCGUCUUUAACGAGUAUUUUCCUCCUAUAACAGCUCAAUAUUGAACCUAAAAUCGUUUAUUUGGUGUUUUAUGUGUCAGUCUGUGAGAGGUGUGGUCUGGGUUAAUUUAGGGUUAGUUAGUGUUAAAGUGCUUCCUGACAUGUCAGGUUUAUCUUUAACACGGAGGCAGAUUACACAUUAAUACAACCACAUGGAUCCUUUAUCCUGUUGGAGCUACAGUUCAGGGUUUCUGUUGUUAAAUCUAUAGUUCAGGGUUUCUGUUGUUAAAUCUAUAGUUCAGGGUUUCUAUUGUUAAAUCAAUAGUUCAGGGUUUCUGUGGUUAAAUCUAUAGUUCAGGGUUUCUGUUGUUAAAUCUAUAGUUCAGGGUUUCUGUGGUUAAAUCUAUAGUUUAAGGGUUUCUGUUGUUAAAUCUAUAGUUCAGGGUUUCUAUGGUUAAAUCUAUAGUUUAAGGGUUUCUGUUGUUAAAUCUAUAGUUCAGGGUUUCUGUGGUUAAAUCUAUAGUUCAGGGUUUCUGUUGUUAAAUCUAUAGUUCAGGGUUUCUGUUGUUAAAUCUAUAGUUCAGGGUUUCUGUGAUUAAAUCUAUAGUUAAAGGGUUUCUGUUGUUAAAUCUAUAGUUCAGGGUUUCUGUUGUUAAAUCUAUAGUUCAGGGUUUCUGUUGUUAAAUCUAUAGUCCAGGGUUUCUGUUGUUAAAUCUAUAGUUCAGGGUUUCUGUUGUUAAAUCUAUAGUUCAGGGUUUCUGUUGUUAAAUCUAUAGUUCAGGGUUUCUGUGGUUAAAUCUAUAGUUUAAGGGUUUCUGUUGUUAAGGGUCAUGAGUUGAGGACUUGGACCACCCUGGGUACAAAGGUAGACCUUCUCCUCUGUAUCCUGCAUGCAGGGCAGCGAAGCCGUCGACCAGAAGGAAGCCACUCAGAUGCAGAGAAGAGAUCAUAUGAGGGUCAUGGAUGAUCCGGUUUGCCAGUCUACAUGUUAACUGUUCAUACACUGCAGACAGAGUUCUGAGAGGCAGUUCUAUGAUUUUUGAGCAGACAGUGACGGUCCUCUGCAGGCAGUUUCUUUUCUGGAGGCUGGUGGAGUAGAACCAGCAGGUGAUGGAGAAGGUGAUGGUGCUCUCUAUGAAGGAGUAAUAGAAUGUCUGGAGAAUGUUCUUAUUUACUCCAAAAGAGUUGAGCUUCCUUAGGAGAUACUGCCUCUGGUGACAUUGCCUGAUAAUCUCUUCUGUGUUAGAGGAGAAUUUCAGCUGGCUGUCAAAGAUGGUACCCGGAUAUUUGUACUCCUCCACAAGCUCAACAGGCAUUCCAUGGAUGGUGGGGUGACAGCUGUAGCCAGCACUAUCUGCUGGUUGGAAAAGGUCACCACCAUCUCCUUGUUUUUUUUUUUUUUUAACAUUCAGCUCCAGGCAAGAGUCAUCACACCAGUCCACAACCUCCCUGAGGACUGACAGCAGAGACAGGAGAACUGUGUUGUCUGCAUAUUUGACCAGGUGGGAAUUGGGCUGUGUGGAUCUGCAGUCAUCCGUGUAGAGGAUGAAGAGUAGUGGAGAGAGGACAUAGCCCUGAGGAGAACCAGUGGAGGUGUGUUGUAGAUCAGAGAAGGUGUUAUUGACCCACACUUUCUGUGAUCUGUGGGUUAAAAAGUGCAAUAACCACAGGAUGAGCUGAUCAUCCAGGUGGAAGCAGGAGGAGAGUUUGUGAGCCAGGAUGUGAGGCUGGAGGGUGUUAAAUGCCGAGGAGAAGUCGGCAAACAGGAGUCUUGCUGAGGUGUUUGGGUGUUCCAGGUGACAGUGUAAAGUGUCCAGAAUGAAUAUUUUGGCAUCAUCAAUACCUCUGCUCGAACGAUAUGCAAAUUGGCGAGGGUCAAUCUGUGAGUUAGUUACUCCAAUGAUGUGAUGUUUCACGAUUCUCUCCAUUGCCUUCAUCACGAGGGAGGUGAGAGCCACAGGUCUGAAGUCAUUGAGUACUUUGGUUGCACUCUUCUUGGGGAUGACUGUGGAGUGUUUUCACAACUGAGGAACUGUACGGCUGUCCAGGGAGUUUUGGAAGAGGGUCUGAAACACACCUCCCAGCUGUUCUGCACAGUGCCUGAGCACACGACCACUGAUGAUGUCCGGGCCGGGGAACUGGUUGUUGGUGGAGUCAGACUGGAACCAGCUGAAUGGGUUAACUGGUGGAUGGUUAACUGGUAGAGGAUUAGGGGUUAACUGGUAGAUGGUUCACUGGUAGAGGGACAGGGGUUAACUUGUUCAUCAUCAGUCACUAAUAAUCCUAAUAAUGAUCAGUCCAGUUAUCAGGGUCAGUCUUUAGUUCAUGUUGAGGCUGAAGCUUGAAAUAACUGAAGUGUUUUAAUUAUUAUCAUGUGAGAAACGGUUCAAUCCUGCUGAGUUCAGCUCUCCUGUAGGAUUGUAAGUACGUUUGAGUGUCGGAUUAAAUAGAUUCAUCAUUUCCACCUCCCUGCUGCUGGUCUCCACAGCCAGGUAAUAAACUGGAUUAGAUAAGAUGAAAUCUUAAUGGUCUGAACCAGAGAAUUGGGUCAGUGCUGAUACUGGAGUUUACAACACGAUGAAGGCAUAAAGAUGGUUCAUCUAAACCGUUAAACCAGUUUUACUUUUCUAGAACUUUUAAUUGAAAGGCUGCUGUUCUGUCUUUUCCUUCAGUCAUCAAAAUCUGAAUGUUAUCUGGGAGCCAACAGCAGUAGAAUGAAAUUAUUAGAAUAUAAACAUAUAAAACAGCUUUUAACCCUGUUUCAGUCAUUAUUCUAUCUCUGGAGGAUUAGUUUAAUGUUUUAUCAGCUGAAAGGUGUGUUUAUUAAUCCAUUCAUAGGUUGGAUUAUGGUUAUUAUUUGUGCUUAUUAUUUCAUUAUUUAAUCAAAUUAUUUGGCUCAUAAAAUGUUGGAAAACUGAAAACCAUUAAUAACAUUAUCUCAGAACAUAUUUUUGUCCACAUAACGCAAAACUAAGGAUUUUCAAUUGAUUGGAACUUGAAACCAAAAAUACCCCCAAAACUCUUAUUUCAGAACCUCAGACAAUCAAAUCUUUGCUUGUUUUUGUUUAAAAAGGUAAAAAAAAAAUGCUAAUUAAUAUCUUUCUUAUCAUCUAUUCUACUGUUGAAGGUCCAGUUAUGCCUUUAUUCCAUAAAACCUCGCAUUUGUUUAUGUCAGAAUAAAGUGUUCCCUGGUGGUUCGGCUGUAGAACAGAUGAAAUAUGAUGGUGUGUAGAGUGAAUUUUGUAGGAUUAAAAGAACAUUAAAAGCUGACUCUCUGACCUCCGGUACAAAGCUGCCGUGUUUGUUUCAGUUUCAAAGUCCGGAGUCAUUUUGCAUGAAAACACGCCGUGCAUCAUGGGAGAAAUGACAUCAGAAACUGCCCUGUUCACUUCCUGGAAUGAAUAAAUAAGGUCAGACCGCUAGCAGGCUGAGUUUAGGGUAAUAAUAGUAGUCUGGACAUCUUCUUCGGGCUUUAUAGAAUAGAUGAGGUUUGAAUAGAUAACUGUUUUCAGGUUUGUUGUUUGGCUGCAGAAGAUAAACAAUCAAUAGUAUUAAUUUAUCAGUUAAGUUGAUCUCUGAUGUUUUGUCACCUGAACAUGUUGACUGGAUGAAUAUAUUAAAAAUAACUGCUGCAGAUGUUUUAUUUAGUUGUUCUUUAACAGACUUCUUCCUUCAUACUUGUUAAAAGCAGCGUCACUGAGUUUGUUUCAUUGCUGCUUAUUGUUCUUCAGUUAGUUCACAGACCACAUAUUUUCUAUUUUAUGAAGCUGGAGCUGUCAGAACUCAUCACUUCCUCCAUAUCAGAGGAUGUUUUAAAAAGAUAGAUAGAUAGAUAGAUAGAUAGAUAGAUAGAUAGAUAGAUAGAUAGAUAGAUAGAUAGACUGUAGAUAGAUAGAUCUGUAGAUAGAUAGAUCGAUCUAUAGAUGGAUAGACUAUAGAUAGAUAGAUAGAUAGAUAGAUAGAUGGAUAGAUGCUUUAUUUAUCCUGAGGGUUUUACUGUCAGAGCAGAACCAAUCACUGAUCAAUCAUUUAUCUACAGAAAGCUGACAAAAAUACCAAACAUUGUGGGUCCAGCUUCUCAAAGAACUUUCCCUCAUUUUCUGAUAUUUUCGGUUUUCAGUAUUUCACUGAUUCUUUGUGAAGCUGAACAGAAACUGAGUUGUAUUUAGACAGAAUAUCGUCUGUUCAGGUCUCUAAUCUUUGAGAAACCUGAAAAUAUCCAAACCUGUUUAAUUUCCUGAUUACACACAAUUAUGGUGCUCAGUACCGUUUGUUCAUUUAUUAUUGAAUCUCUUUUUCUUUUGUGUUGGUUUGGUUUUCUUUUCUUUUUUCAAAUUUUUAUUUAUUUUUUUUCUAUUGAUGGACAGUUAGUAGUUGGGCAUAACACACCACCUUACAAUCUUUAAUUGCAAUAGCAACGCCUGUUAUUUUCUAUCCCUGUUCAUCCUGUUCGUCCUGUUCGUCCUGUCCAGUCUUUGUUUCCCCCACACAUCACUGAGGUGUAGCACUGCCCUCCCUGGCUCAUAAUAGGGAAUUCUAAUAAAGAAGGUCUGCUUAGCUUUCAGGGAGGGCCGGUGAUGGUCACACACAUGCACUAAAUAUUAAAAUAUUUGGUUGCAAGACUAAAAUAUGCAUCAAUCUCAUAUAAUGUUGACUCCCCUUUUGUGGAGUUAAACAAUGAGAACAAAUGCAGACAAAAAAAAAGAAAAAAAAAAAUUUCCUGAUUAAUGUUUGAUCCCUGAAGCCUUCAAUGACUGGAAAUCCAUCACAGCUGGAGCUGACGUUUAUUCAUAGUUCUGUCGGACUAAAACUCCAGAAUACUAAAAGAUGUUCAGUUUAUGUCUGUCAGAUCAGGAAAUGCUGGAACUCUCCUCAGGUAGAACCUGGACCCUUAAAGGUUUGGUUAUUUAUACUUGAUAAUUACAAAAAUGAAUAAGUAGUUAUUAAAAUGAUUAAUUAUUGAAAUAAUUAGUCAUUAAAAUGAUUCGUUUUUACAAUAAUUAGUUAUUAAAAUAACUGCUGAAUAGUUUCAUUGUGUUCCCAUAAACAUUAGUUUCCAUCAGUUCUCAGCUUGAACACUGAAGACGUUCUGGUCAUAGUUUCAUAUAUCAGGGUUUGCUGGUGUCUGACCUGCAGCUCAACAGGAAUGUUAGAAACUCAGUUCAGCUGCAGCCUUGGAUUUAUUUUAUUUAUUUUUUAUUCGUUUUUUUUUUUUUAACUGAUGUUUGAUGUGGAGUGUUCAUCUGUAUUUCAGUUUAAAGUUGGUCUGUAGGGCUAGGGUUGUGUGUCUGUAUUCAGGGUUAGGGUUGUGUGUAUUCAGGGUUAGGAUUGUGUGUAUUCAGGGUUAGGAUUGUGUGUAUUCGGGGUUAGGGUUGUGUGUCUGUAUUCAGGGUUAGGGUUGUGUGUAUUCAGGGUUAGGGUUGUGUGUCUGUAUUCAGGGUUAGGGUUGUGUGUAUUCAGGGUUAGGGUUGUGUGUAUUCAGGGUUAGGGUUGUGUGUAUUCAGGGUUAGGGUUGUGUGUCUGUAUUCAGGGUGACAUCACCCGUUGGUUUCUGCACUGAGAAAAUGAAGCCUCUUCCUGGUUGACAUCUUGGAUUUUUGGAGCCAGAGAUGACAACAAGGGCGGAGCCGGAGAGCAGUGAUUGGUCAGACUGACUGAGAGCCGAGGACUCUCUGUCCCGCCCUCAUUUACUGGCUGCCGCUGUUUAGCGAUGCUGCUGCUGACAACAUUAGCCUCCAAAAGUGAAGCUAAACUCUGCAGCCUUGGUCUGGAUCAUUGGGAACAUCUAGUCUGAUGGACUGAGAGUUACAGAGAACAUGAACAUCCAGCUGUGGUUGUCUGAAGAGUCUUUUCUCCUCCAUCACUGUGAGAAAGAGCAGCACUGAUGUCCUCAUCCUUCCAGUAAUAACAAUAAUGCUGCAGAUUCAGCUCCUCUCUUCUCCCAUCCCUCCCCCUCUACCCCUCUACCUCCACCUCUAUCCCUCUACCUCCACCUCUACCCCUCUACCUCUAUCCCUCUAUCUCUACCUCUUUACCUCUUCUGUCCCUCUCAACCCGUCCGGCCAGCAGCAGAUGGAUCCCCCCACAUAAAGAGCCGGGUUCUGCUCAAGGUUUUUUUUCCCUGUUAAAAGGGUGUUUUCCUGCCACUGUUGCCUUAGGGCUGCUCUGGGGGUUCAGGCAUAUGGGUUCUGUAAAGCGUCUUGAGACAGUGUGACUUGUAGUUGGCGCUAUAUAAAUAAAAUUGAAUUGAAUAAUACAACUUGUGACUGUUCAGUUUUUACACUUCACUGUUAGCAACACAUUAUUUAUUCCAUCCAUUUAUUUCAUGUGUUUACACAUCUUUACAGUUCACAAUUGUUAAAUAGUGCAGUUUUUAAAUGUGCAAUAAAGUAAUAAUGAAGCUUCUGCUCUGAA